AGCAGCCGCGGUAAUUCCAGCUCCAAUAGCGUAUAUUAAAGUUGUUGCAGUUAAAAAGCUCGUAGUUGAAUUUCGGGAUUGACACAUCGGUCGUGCCUUAAGGGGUAUGAACUGGUGUAGUCAAUUUCUCACCUUCUGGAGAACCGCGAUGCCCUUAAUUGGGUGUCGCGGGGAACCAGGACCUUUACUUUGAAAAAAUUAGAGUGUUUAAAGCAGGCAUUUUGCUUGAAUACAUUAGCAUGGAAUAAUAAAAUAGGACGGCAUGAUUCUAUUUUGUUGGUUUCUAGGAUCACCGUAAUGAUUAAUAGGGAUAGUUGGGGGCAUUAGUAUUCAAUUGUCAGAGGUGAAAUUCUUGGAUUUAUUGAAGACUAACUACUGCGAAAGCAUUUGCCAAGGAUGUUUUCAUUAAUCAAGAACGAAAGUUAGGGGAUCGAAGACGAUCAGAUACCGUCGUAGUCUUAGCCAUAAACUAUGCCGACUAGGAAUCAGACGAUGUUAAUUUUUUAAUGACUCGUUUGGU
rnacentral:misc_RNA from 1 species